GAUGAACAAGUUGUAAAGAAGAUGAAACCGAUCAAUGACACUCUUCAUCAACAAGCUGAAGAUGACAAGUAGGAAAACUUGUCCAGGUCCCAAUCAACAAUCCAACUUAGCUGUUAGGUUUCAGAUAAAUCAUGCAUGGCUGACAACUAGCGAACAAUCGUCCCUUCCUAUCCUUUGCGCUGUUGUCCUUCUCUAUUCUCUACAUUUUUCGUUUUGAUCUUCUGCAAUUUAUUUCCUUGUUUUCUAGUGGUGUGAAUGUAUGCUUCUUGACCUCUGUAGAAGAGCUGUCAAACUCUAUAAAUUCUGUAACACUCUUGAUGAUCAAUAU
rnacentral:lncRNA from 1 species